AACGAACGCUGGCGGCAUGCCUAACACAUGCAAGUCGAACGAGACCUUCGGGUCUAGUGGCGCACGGGUGCGUAACGCGUGGGAACCUGCCCUUAGGUUCGGAAUAACUCCCCGAAAGGGGUGCUAAUACCGGAUAAUGUCUUCGGACCAAAGAUUUAUCGCCUUUGGAUGGGCCCGCGUUGGAUUAGCUAGUUGGUAGGGUAAAAGCCUACCAAGGCGACGAUCCAUAGCUGGUCUGAGAGGAUGAUCAGCCACGCUGGGACUGAGACACGGCCCAGACUCCUACGGGAAGGAGCAGUGGGGAAUAUUGGACGAUGGGCGAAAGCCUGAUCCAGCAAUGCCGCGUGAGUGAUGAAGGCCUUAGGGUUGUAAAGCUCUUUUACCCGGGAUGAUAAUGACAGUACCGGGAGAAUAAGCUCCGGCUAACUCCGUG
rnacentral:rRNA from 1 species